AUUGAACGCUGGCGGCAGGCCUAACACAUGCAAGUCGAACGAGUGGCGGACGGGUGAGUAAUGUCUGUGAAACUGCCUGAUGGAGGGGGAUAACUACUGGAAACGGUAGCUAAUACCGCAUACCAUCAGCUGUGCCCAGAUGGGAUUAGCUUGUUGGUGGGGUGACGGCUCACCAAUGCGUCGAUCCCUAGCUGGUCUGAGAGGAUGACAAGGCACACGGGAAUUGAGAGACGGUACAGACCACUACGCGAGGGAGCAGUGGAGAGUAGUGCACAAUGGGAGGAAGGCAGAUGCAGACCUGCCGAGUGUAUGAAGAAGGCAUGCGGGUUGGAAAGUAAUUUCAGCGGUGAGGCGGUACCCGAAGAAGAAGCACCGGCUAACUCCGUGCCAGCCGCCGCGGUAAUAC
rnacentral:rRNA from 1 species